rnacentral:rRNA from 1 species
UACAGAGGGUGCGAGCGUUAAUCGGAAUUACUGGGCGUAAAGCGCGCGUAGGCGGCUUUGCAAGUCGAGUGUGAAAGCCCCCGGCUCAACUGGGGAGGGUCAUUCGAUACUGAUCGACUCGAAGGCAGGAGAGGGUAGUGGAAUUCCCGGUGUAGUGGUGAAAUGCGUAGAUAUCGGGAGGAACACCAGUGGCGAAGGCGACUACCUGGCCUGUUCUUGACGCUGAGGCGCGAAAGCUAGGGGAGCAAACGGG